GUAUGGCUGUUCGCCAUUUAAAGUGGUACGCGAGCUGGGUUUAGAACGUCGUGAGACAGUUCGGUCCCUAUCUGCCGUGGGCGCUGGAGAAUUGAGGGGGGCUGCUCCUAGUACGAGAGGACCGGAGUGGACGCAUCACUGGUGUUCGGGUUGUCAUGCCAAUGGCACUGCCCGGUAGCUAAAUGCGGAAGAGAUAAGUGCUGAAAGCAUCUAAGCACGAAACUUGCCCCGAGAUGAGUUCUCCCUGAGACUUUAAGUCUCCUGAAGGAACGUURAAGACGAYGACGUUGAUAGGUCGGGUGUGUAAGCGCAGCGAUGCGUUGAGCUAACCGAUACUAAUGAACCGUGAGGCUUAACCUU
rnacentral:rRNA from 1 species